rnacentral:rRNA from 1 species
AUUGAACGCUGGCGGCAGGCCUAACACAUGCAAGUCGAGCGGAUGAAGGGAGCUUGCUCCUGGAUUCAGCGGCGGACGGGUGAGUAAUGCCUAGGAAUCUGCCUGGUAGUGGGGGAUAACGUCCGGAAACGGGCGCUAAUACCGCAUACGCCCUGAGGGAGAAAGUGGGGGAUCUUCGGACCUCACGCUAUCAGAUGAGCCUAGGUCGGAUUAGCUAGUUGGUGGGGUAAAGGCCUACCAAGGCGACGAUCCGUAACUGGUCUGAGAGGAUGAUCAGUCACACUGGAACUGAGACACGGUCCAGACUCCUACGGGAGGCAGCAGUGGGGAAUAUUGGAAAAUGGGCGAAAGCCUGAUCCAGCCAUGCCGCGUGUGUGAAGAAGGUCUUCGGAUUGUAAAGCACUUUAAGUUGGGAGGAAGGGCAGUAAGUUAAUACCUUGCUGUUUUGACGUUACCAACAGAAUAAGCACCGGCUAACUUCGUG